UACAGAGGUCCCAAGCGUUGUUCGGAUUCACUGGGCGUAAAGGGUGCGUAGGUGGUGAGGUAAGUCGGAUGUGAAAUCUCCGAGCUCAACUCGGAAACUGCAUUGGAAACUACCUUGCUCGAGGGUUGGAGGGGGGACUGGAAUGCUUGGUGUAGCAGUGAAAUGCGUAGAUAUCGGGAGGAACACCUGUGGCGAAAGCGGCUCACUGGACCACAACUGACGCUGAGGCGCGAAAGCUAGGGGAGCAAACAGG
rnacentral:rRNA from 1 species